CAACACUUCCACAACAUUCUCAGUUAAAGGCUAGGAGCUUCAGCAGGAAGAUGAAUCUAAGAUAUUGUAUAUUAAUGAUACUAAUUUCAUAUACUUGUGGACAGUCACUGACCUCCUCUGAGUCAGUGGUGGAGAAACCUGGGAAAUCGGUCACUCUGUCCUGUUCUGUGUCUGGUUUCUCGAUGGGCAGCUACUGGAUGCACUGGGUUCGUCAGAAACCCGGACAAGGACUGGAGUGGAUCGGUUUCGUUGAUACUGGCACUAGCACUUACUUUGCCCAGUCACUACAGGGCCAGUUCUCCAUCACUAAAGACACCAGUAAAAACAUGCUGUACCUGCAGGUGAAGAGCCUGAAAGCUGAAGACACGGCUGUUUAUUACUGUGCGAGAGACUCACACUGA